rnacentral:rRNA from 1 species
AGAAUCAACGCUGGCGGCGUGCCUAACACAUGCAAGUCGAACGCGAAAGUGGAGCAAUCCAUGAGUAGAGUGGCAAACGGGUGAGUAACGCGUGGGCGACCUACCUCUGAGUGGGGGAUAACCUUCCGAAAGGAGGGCUAAUACCGCAUGACAUCCCGUGUUUGGAUACACGGACAUCAAAGCCGGGGAUCGCAAGACCUGGCGCUUGGAGAGGGGCCCGCGUCCGAUUAGCUAGUUGGUGAGGUAACGCUCACCAAGGCUUCGAUCGGUA